AGGGAUUGACGACUGAGGGCCUCCAAAAUCUACUGUUAGAUAUUUUCAAAAUGCCAUCGAUGCCCCGAAGGAGUGAACGUGAAAGAUCUCCAGAUGCCAACAAUUGGGGGUCGUUCUUGUUUUCGGUGAUAUGGUCGUAUGUUGUGCUUGCAUUAUUUGGUUUUUUUUUGUUAGUGGUAACCCCAUUUGUAAGUGCAAUUGGAUAUUCAAGUGGAAAUUUGCCAAUACCUACGGGUAAAUUGAGAAUACCGCCGGAUUAAAUUGAGAAUAUCUACGGGUAAAUUGAAAAUACCGUCGGGAAAAUUGAGAAUACCGCC
rnacentral:lncRNA from 1 species